GGCCCGUUGGUCAAGUGGUUAAGACACCGCCCUUUCACGGCGGCAACACGGGUUCGAAUCCCGUACGGGUCACCA
rnacentral:tRNA from 1 species